rnacentral:rRNA from 1 species
UAUUAGAAAGAAUACCAAUUGCGAAGGCAGCUUUCUGGAUCAUUACUGACACUGAGGAACGAAAGCAUGGGUAGCGAAGAGGAUUAGAUACCCUCGUAGUCCAUGCCGUAAACGAUGUGUGUUAGACGUUGGAAAUUUAUUUUCAGUGUCGCAGCGAAAGCGAUAAACACACCGCCUGGGGAGUACGACCGCAAGGUUAAAACUCAAAUGAAUUGACGGGGACCCGCACAAGUAGUGGAGCAUGUGGUUUAAUUCGAAGAUACGCGCAGAACCUUACCAACACUUGACAUGUUCGUCGCGACUUUAAGAGAUUAAAGUUUUCGGUUCGGCCGGACGAAACACAGGUGCUGCAUGGCUGUCGUCAGCUCGUGUCGUGAGAUGUUGGGUUAAGUCCCGCAACGAGCGCAACCCUCACUUUUAGUUGCCAUCAUUAAGUUGGGCACUCUGAAAGAACUGCCAGUGAUAAGCUGGAGGAAGGUGGGGAUGACGUCAAGUCCUCAAGGCCCUUACGUGUUGGGCUACACACGUGCUACAAUGGUAUCUACAACAGGAAGCAAGACGGCGACGUCAAGCAAAUCCUUAAAAGAUACCUCAGUUCGGAUUGCACUCUGCAACUCGAGUGCAUGAAGCUGGAAUUACUAGUAAUCGUGGAUCAGCGUGCCACGGUGAAUGCGUUCCCGGGCCUUGUACACACCGCCCA